rnacentral:rRNA from 1 species
AUUGAACGCUGGCGGCAGGCCUAACACAUGCAAGUCGGACGGCAGCACAGAGGAGCUUGCUCCUCGGGUGACGAGUGGCGGACGGGUGAGUAAUGUCUGGGGAUCUGCCCGAUAGAGGGGGAUAACCACUGGAAACGGUGGCUAAUACCGCAUAACGUCGCAAGACCAAAGAGGGGGACCUUCGGGCCUCUCACUAUCGGAUGAACCCAGAUGGGAUUAGCUAGUAGGCGGGGUAAUGGCCCACCUAGGCGACGAUCCCUAGCUGGUCUGAGAGGAUGACCAGCCACACUGGAACUGAGACACGGUCCAGACUCCUACGGGAGGCAGCAGUGGGGAAUAUUGCACAAUGGGCGCAAGCCUGAUGCAGCCAUGCCGAGUGUAUGAAGAAGGCCUUCGGGUUGUAAAGUACUUUCAGCGGGGAGGAAGGCGGUGAGGUUAAUAACCUUGCCGAUUGACGUUACCCGCAGAAGAAGCACCGGCUAACUCCGUGCCAGCCGCCGCGGUAA